GAAACAGGCCGCCUUAUCGCUCCAAUUUAUUGGGGAGGAAAGUCCGGACAACAUAGAGCACCGUGCUUCCUGAAAGGGGAGGAUCUGCGUUAAGCGGAGACAGAAAGUGCCACAGAAAAUAUACCGCCUUGGCCGGUUAUGCUGGUUUAGGUAAGGGUGAAAUGGUGCGGUAAGAGCGCACCGCGUUUUUGGUAACAAAAACGGCAGGGUAAACCUCGCGGGUUGCAAUGCCAUGUAAACUGAGGAUUGAGCGCUGCUCGCGCGAUCUCAGAGGGUAGGCAGCAUUAGAUAAAUGAUAAGGGUUUUUAACAAUUUGGUUUACCAAGGGUUAAGAAUACAGAAUCUGGCUUAUAGGCCUGUUUUUUUU
rnacentral:RNase_P_RNA from 1 species